rnacentral:rRNA from 1 species
UACGUAGGGUGCGAGCGUUAAUCGGAAUUACUGGGCGUAAAGCGUGCGCAGGCGGUGAUGUAAGACAGGUGUGAAAUCCCCGGGCUUAGCCUGGGAACUGCAUUUGUGACUGCAUCGCUGGAGUGCGGCAGAGGGGGAUGGAAUUCCGCGUGUAGCAGUGAAAUGCGUAGAUAUGCGGAGGAACACCGAUGGCGAAGGCAAUCCCCUGGGCCUGCACUGACGCUCAUGCACGAAAGCGUGGGGAGCAAACAGG